CCAAGGCUCUCCAUACCAUAAGAAUAACCAUGAAAAUGUCAACAGUGCCACUGGUACUAAUCGCGCAAUUAGUAUUAGCUGCCUGUUAUAUUCGCUGUCCAUUUAGAAAUGUGCCUGGUGGGUGUUGGUAUGAAGGAAGACUAUACCCACCUGGAUCUCAUGUGCAAUCAGCUAAUCCCUGCGCUUUUAUAUCGUGUUCACCCACAGGACAGACACUGUCAGUUACCGGGUGUCCGGGAAGCGCUGGAGCUCAUCAGCAUCCCCCGGGAGCGGCUGGAGUUCCUUUAUUAUUGUACCCGGACUGCUGCUCAAGAUGCCCGAGGAUUCGAUGAAUCGUCACUACAAACGGUACAAUACAUGUUGUCAGGGCAACUAUUAUUACGUUCAACAAAUCUGCACGAUAAGUGCCUAAAAAUUAUAUACCAAGAAGUUAUAAAUAAAGUGAUUUUCUAA